CCUGCAUCGCUCUUGGUGGAAACCUGGCCUCAAUCAACAGUCUCGGGGAAUCAUUUUUCAUUAGCAAUCUGAUUUUCCAAACGUCUGGCUCAUUUGUAACUGCCUGGAUUGGGAUCUUUGAUGCAAUACAGGAGGGAACGUGGAUGUGGACAGAUGGCUCGAAGGUUGCCUUCACAUACUGGGGUUAUGGGGAGCCGAACAAUGCAGGAGGACAACACUGUACAGAGAUCAACUUUGCAGGACGUUUUUGGAACGAUGUCCCCUGUCACUUCAGUAAACCUUUUGUUUGUGCCAAGAAACUGUGAUGCCUCCCUCCGUCUGCUGUCGUAUUUGCGAUUACGAUGCCACUUCCACCAUGAUUGAUGAUGACGAUAUUUGAUAAUAGCAAACUUGCUCUAAUGAUUUCCUUCCAGUGAAAUUCUUUCUAAAUGAAAUUCCUCCAAAUCAGUAAAUUGUAAUAUCAUUCCCCUGUUUUCUUACUAUCGAAAAUUUCCUCACUAAACUAUGAUGACAUUUUAGGGCCAUUGUAGAUUAUUUUUGAUUACAGAGCCAGAUGAGGGGAGGGGAUAUUUUAAGAAUAAAUUACUUGUUUUCAGUUAAGUCAGUGCAGACAUAAGAGAAGAGGUGGGCAGAUAUGAGUGACUGCAACAAAGCCACUUGAAAGCAUGUCACAUCUUAGUCAUUUAUAAAUGCCUGCAGUUCUUCCCCUUUUCUAUGCUUUUGGACUUUGAACAGAAAGUAGUAUCUCUCUGUGGGUGAAAGUAACUUAUAUAUGAUGGCUGUUAUUAACACGUGCAUUCCUUGCUUUUACUAGAGUACAGAGCCUUUGAUAACACAAACACAUUCGAAAAAAUCUAUGUCUUUGUAUUCCCAUAGAUUGUUAAUUUUUUUUUCUCUUGAAAAUUUGUUUUUUUCUUGUAACUGUACCCCUGCCCCCCAUAAUUAGGCUAUUGUUUUACCUACAAUAGCCCUAAUCUGCCAUCAUACUAAGCUGAUUGAACUGUGAUUUUUUUUAAAUGCUUUCCUAUUAUGGGAAAAUAUUGU